rnacentral:rRNA from 1 species
AGUGAACGCUGGCGGUAGGCCUAACACAUGCAAGUCGAACGGCAGCACAGUAAGAGCUUGCUCUUACGGGUGGCGAGUGGCGGACGGGUGAGGAAUACAUCGGAAUCUACUUUUUCGUGGGGGAUAACGUAGGGAAACUUACGCUAAUACCGCAUACGACCUACGGGUGAAAGCAGGGGAUCUUCGGACCUUGCGCGAUUGAAUGAGCCGAUGUCGGAUUAGCUAGUUGGCGGGGUAAAGGCCCACCAAGGCGACGAUCCGUAGCUGGUCUGAGAGGAUGAUCAGCCACACUGGAACUGAGACACGGUCCAGACUCCUACGGGAGGCAGCAGUGGGGAAUAUUGGACAAUGGGCGCAGGCCUGAUCCAGCCAUACUGCGUGGGUGAAGAAGGCCUUCGGGUUGUAAAGCCCUUUUGUUGGGAAAGAAAAGCAGCAGGUUAAUACCCCGCUGUUCUGACGGUACCCAAAGAAUAAGCACCGGCUAACUUCGUG